rnacentral:rRNA from 1 species
UACGUAGGCGGCCCAUUAAGUCAGAUGUGAAAGCCCGGAGCUCAACUCCGGGAUUGCAUUUGAAACUGGUGGGCUAGAGUACAGGAGAGGAAAGUGGAAUUCCUAGUGUAGCGGUGAAAUGCGUAGAUAUUAGGAAGAACACCAGUGGCGAAGGCGGCUUCUGGACUGUAACUGACGCUGAGGUACGAAAGCGUGGGGAGCGAACA